UCGCCUGUUUUACAAAAACAUCGUUUACUUAACCCUAGUAGAUAGAAUCUGCCCGCUGUUAUUUAUAAAAGGCCGCGGUAUCGCUGACCGUGCUAAGGUAGCAUAAUCACUCGCCUCUUAAUAGAAGGCUCGUAUAAAUGAUCUGACGGAAGGUAGACUGUCUCAGCUAUGUAAUAGAAUCUGACAUAAGGGUAAAAAGGCCCUUUCCCCCAAGGGGACGAUCAGACCCUAAAAACUUUAUCUACCUUUGCUCUUCGCCCUUUACCUUAAAAGAGUAGAAAUAGAUUUUGCUGGGGCGGCAUUUUUUAAUACAAAAACAAUCUUUCUUAAAACACCUUGUGUGGUACUUAUAACACGCCUUUAAAGACUAAAGACCAGUUACUUUAGGGAUAACAGCGCAACCCCUUCUAGAGCCCCUAUCGACAAGCAGGAAAGCGACCUCGAUGUUGAAUUGAGACUCCCUACUGGGCAGCCCCAGUAAAGGACAGGACUGUUCGUCCUAAGAUCCUCACGUGAUCUGAUUUC
rnacentral:rRNA from 1 species